UAAAUUGGGAAUCGGGCCUCUUUCUAGACAUAUGACCUGACGAUCAAUGACGUCAUCAUGAUUCAAUCUCGUUUUUUUUCCGAGUACCCAGUUGUCUUGAAAGCACCUUAAAUCCAGAGAAUGCCAGACUUUGAUGAUUCAAUUUGCCCACGAAGGACCGCCGUGCCACCUCCCUGCUCAAGUGAGCACAGCACAACAAGGUCCGGAAGUUUGAGCACGUCAACCGCCAGUGGUCCUUGCCUGCAGACACACAACCCAACACAACCGCCACAGCAGACGAUCCUUUAAAGACUAAGGAUGCGGAGAAGGAUGGCAAGAAGGAGGAGAAGACUGAAAAGACGGAAGUCUUAGAAGUAAACAAACUAGCACAAUGGAUCUGGGGCGAUUCCGGCUGAGAGUCGGGGCACUCGGCUGAGAGUCAGACAUGGCCGACGUCAUGUGGCCCGAGUCUGGGCCUCCUUCGGCAGUAUUACUUAUGGCUAGAAUGCGGGGAUUGAGCUCGGACCAAUUCCGGUGUCAGUUAUCUGGCC
ensembl:lncRNA